ACGCUGGCGGCAGGCUUAACACAUGCAAGUCGAGCGCCCCGCAAGGGGAGCGGCAGACGGGUGAGUAACGCGUGGGAAUCUACCCUUUUCUACGGAAUAACGCAUGGAAACGUGUGCUAAUACCGUAUGAGCCCUUCGGGGGAAAGAUUUAUCGGGAAAGGAUGAGCCCGCGUUGGAUUAGCUAGUUGGUGGGGUAAAGGCCUACCAAGGCGACGAUCCAUAGCUGGUCUGAGAGGAUGAUCAGCCACAUUGGGACUGAGACACGGCCCAAACUCCUACGGGAGGCAGCAGUGGGGAAUAUUGGACAAUGGGCGCAAGCCUGAUCCAGCCAUGCCGCGUGAGUGAUGAAGGCCCUAGGGUUGUAAAGCUCUUUCACC
rnacentral:rRNA from 1 species